rnacentral:rRNA from 1 species
UACGUAGGGUGCAAGCGUUAAUCGGAAUUACUGGGCGUAAAGCGUGCGCAGGCGGUGAUGUAAGACAGUUGUGAAAUCCCCGGGCUCAACCUGGGAACUGCAUCUGUGACUGCAUUGCUGGAGUGCGGCAGAGGGGGAUGGAAUUCCGCGUGUAGCAGUGAAAUGCGUAGAUAUGCGGAGGAACACCGAUGGCGAAGGCAAUCCCCUGGGCCUGCACUGACGCUCAUGCACGAAAGCGUGGGAUCAAACAGG